rnacentral:rRNA from 1 species
CAGCAGCCGCGGUAAUACAGAGGGUGCGAGCGUUAAUCGGAAUUACUGGGCGUAAAGCGUGCGUAGGCGGUUUGUUAAGUCUGCUGUGAAAUCCCCGGGCUCAACCUGGGAAUGGCAGUGGAUACUGGCAAGCUAGAGUGUGUCAGAGGAUGGUGGAAUUCCCGGUGUAGCGGUGAAAUGCGUAGAGAUCUGGAGGAAUACCGAUGGCGAAGGCAGCCAUCUGGCCUAAUACUGACGCUGAGGUACGAAAGCAUGGGGAGCAAACAGGAUUAGAUACCCCUGUAGUCCCUGUCUCUUAUAC